rnacentral:rRNA from 1 species
AACGAACGCUGGCGGCAUGCCUAACACAUGCAAGUCGAACGAGACCUUCGGGUCUAGUGGCGCACGGGUGCGUAACGCGUGGGAACCUGCCCUUAGGUUCGGAAUAACUCCCCGAAAGGGGUGCUAAUACCGGAUAAUGUCUUCGGACCAAAGAUUUAUCGCCUUUGGAUGGGCCCGCGUUGGAUUAGCUAGUUGGUAGGGUAAAAGCCUACCAAGGCGACGAUCCAUAGCUGGUCUGAGAGGAUGAUCAGCCACACUGGGACUGAGACACGGCCCAGACUCCUACGGGAGGCAGCAGUGGGGGAUAUUGUACCAUGGGCGAAAGCCUGAUCCAGCAAUGCCGCUUGAGUGAUGAAGGCCUUAGGGUUGUAAAGCUCUUUUACCCGGGAUGAUAAUGACAGUACCGGGAGAAUAAGCGCCGGCUAACUCCGUU